GUGGGAGUGAGACUGUGAGGUGGCUAGUGUCCUGUCAGACUCCACGAUCUACAGCUGUGUUCAAACUAUGUUCUUCACAAACUCGCUUUGUGGCUUGGAAGACACAUGUCUUUGGGGAUUCUUUUGAACACCUUUACAUGCUGACUUCGGUUCUUUGAGGGAAUGGGACCCGCUUUCGGGGUUCCACAAUUGGCCGCUAUUCGGCAUGCCAAAGUCUCGGCCUAUGCUUUUGGCACGGUGUUGGGGAAGUUGGAACAGCUGCUGUGUGCCUGGGGACCCAGGAUCCAGGUACAGAGCUCGAAAAAAGCUAUGUAAUGGACUUUUAACAUCAUAAACCAGCGAGUUGUUUGUCAUCUCUCCCCACUCGUUGGAAAAUGGAAUCACCUCUUCCUCCUUUGUCAGGAGAGUGAGAGCCUGCAGCAUGUUGUA